GUGAGCCACCACGUCAGGCCACAUAUACUAAAAUUGGAAUGUUACAGAGAAGAUUAGCAUGGCCCCCAUGCAAGGAUGGCAGGCAAAUUUGUGAAGUGUUCUGUAUUUUU
rnacentral:snRNA from 1 species